ACCAGCUUUUCAGGGGACCUGAAAUGACACAGCCUCACAGAGUUUAUUCCUGGGAACUUGGAAGAUUUUCCAAUUGAUGAAAUGGACAAGAUGUGACCCAGUGUUCUCACUGCACUGAUUUUCUGGAUCUAAGGAAAGAAGGCAGGAGAGUAGGCACUUAAGAGGCUGGAAUGUAGAUGUGGCUGUCAAGCCAAAUUCACCAUCUGGCUGAGGCCAGUCUUGUAGGACUGAUGGCAAGAAAUAAAAUAAAAAGAGCUCUGGAACCCGGACUUCUCUAGGAGCCAGAACCACCUCCUGACCUUGAACCCCUGUCUGCCUCUGAGCUGUUACAUAAGAGAAAAAAAAAACCUCUGUGUAGUUUCAGCCACUGGUUUGGGGUGGAGGAGGGACCUCUUAAAACAAUCCUAUUUUAAAAUCAGUCUGUUUUAAAAGUAAGGUACUUGGAAAUUUUACUGGUCAGGGUAAACCUACCAUGGACAAACUGAUUAGUGUAUGCACUAUACUAACACGGGGAAGGCUGAGCUGACUACACGCAGGAAAUGUGUGUACAGUUGGGUGAGUCUUCUUUCCACGGGGCCAAGCGUUGACCACAGGUCUUGACGGGUAAGGCUGGAGGUCCCUUCUGAAGGAUGUUCCUAUUGUUCGUCACAGUGGAGCGUGAACUGCUGGCCUGGACCUAAGGUGACUAUCCCAGUGAGAAAGCAGAGGUCCCCGUUCUUUGUCCUCAUAGAUCCAAGACCUGGGUCCAGACCCGGAGACAAAAGAAGGUCUGGAGUCAUCCGGCC